rnacentral:lncRNA from 1 species
GUUCUCCCAUACUAGGUUUCUGGGAGACCAUGUUGCGCCUCUCGAGGUAGCGGGAGGUGCAGUUCUCUGUCAGCGGGGUUCCCACCAGCCGUCCGCGUAGUGCUCUGUGGCAGGACCCUAAAACAGCCUGAGAGCCCCUGGAACAGCCACAGGUACCCCACAGCAGCCCCAGGGACACCAUGUCACAGCCUCCCAAGGUCAUUGCGUUCAGGUACCUUGAACUGUGUGGAAAGAGCCUGCAGGAGGCCUGGGCACAGGUUAUGAAUCUGCAUGACUUCCUGAGAACUGUUCUGAGCAUGUGGUGUUGUGGGUCAUGACCGCCUGGGCAGUGGUCCCCAACUUGUCUGCCAAGACUACGCAACAACUGACAGCUGCCUGUGGAAUGAAAGCAAAGGCCAACUUCUCAGAGAUCCUGCAAGAUUACAAGGAUCCCUCUGGAGCCCUUCCUCAUGCCCGGGAGCCCUCUGUUGGCCCUCCAGCCCCUUUAGCAACCCUCUGUUCUGCUUUGGCCCCUCCUCUGGCCUUUUAGUUUCCUCUCGCAGACCUCUCUUAGC